rnacentral:rRNA from 1 species
GACGUAGGAUGCAAGCGUUGUCCGGAUUUAUUGGGCGUAAAGAGUUCGUAGGCGGUUUGUUAAGUCUGAUGUUAAAGACUGGGGCUCAACCUCGGAAAUGCAUUGGAUACUGGCAGACUCGAGUGCAGUAGAGGCAAGUGGAAUUCCAGGUGUAGCGGUGAAAUGCGUAGAUAUCGGGAGGAACACCAGUGGCGAAGGCGACUACCUGGCCUGUUCUUGACGCUGAGGCGCGAAAGCUAGGGGAGCAAACGGG